GACAAUAGUGGUUGGUAGUGAUCUUUGUAGUAGAUGAUGGUUGUGAUGGUGGAGGUGGUUGGUGAUGAUGGGUGGUGGUUGACAAUGAUGGCGGUAGAAAAGGUAGCGAUGAUGAUUAUGAAUAGAGUGGCGGUGAAUAUUAUCCAACACCAGAAUACCUCUUCAGACCUAUUAAGACUUGAUUUGAGAUCUGAAUGAUUAAGACCUAUUCAGACCUAUUAAGAGCUAAAAUCUUGAUUAAAAAAAUGUACUUAAUGGUAUGAAGUAUAAACCAUUCAGAUUCAGAUCUCCAUUAAGUGCAAACAAAUGAGCCCUUAGUGAGCAUCACAUCUCACCAAGUAUUAUAUUUCUAAAAAGUGCUCCACUUUAUGUCAUUUUUUAUAAUUUUAUCCUCAUUAUCAUAAGGUACACAUAAAAUGUGCCUCCACAGGAACUAGUUUGAUAAAAAAUGGAAAAGAACCUAUUCUAGUGGUGUAUAAGAACUAUUUAAAUAACGGUAUAUCAUUCAAGCCCUCAUAUCUUCAGCAUAUUCCUUGAUCUUUAGAGAUGAAUCUUCAAGUUGAGGGAUCUGCUAGAGAUUGAUUAUUUUUAAUGAACCAAUACCCCGAAACUAGGAAAAGUCUCCUCAAGCUUAUCAUAUUCUAACAAAUAUAAUUUUUUCAUGAACGGGAAGGUUCCUCUGCAAACUCCCAGUUUGUAAGAGACACUUGUUCCAAAGUCAAAAAUUUUGAGACUCUCAAAGAUAUCUUCCUCACCAUGUUUUAUUCUUCCCUCGGAUUAUUAUUCUCACAAGGUAAAUUAAUUAAAGAUUGGGGAGUUUCCGUAUUAUUGAUAGUGAAUCAGAUGCUAAAGGAAAGGUGUGACCACCCAAAACUAGGUCCUGGGGUAACAAGCACUAGGAACCACAUAAGGCCCGAGAGUACCUCUUAAGCAUUAUGAGAAUUCUAAGUGGUAGAAGAAAACACUUGUCAGAGAUAUACUAAAAAACUAUAUAAAACUCAUUAAACCAUUUAAAAUCUCCAAAAUAAUACUGAAAUACUGAAACUCCUAUUCAAC
rnacentral:lncRNA from 1 species